GCUAAUAGUAGGCAACUCAGUGGCUCUACUCUCAGUAUGAGCCGAAAACACACUCUUGUGCGUCAACCCAAACUCGUCUGCCAACACAGACGCUUCUGACAGGGAGGAUACUUUCUGUUCGUUUAGGUAAACUACAAUGCAUUUGGGUGAGUUAUCUCAUCCUAUCACAGCCCUUCAUCCUGCCAAGCAUGGGGAUUCACAGCUCAGGGGCUGCUAUCUGGACGGCGACUGAACUUUAUCUGGCCAUGGGGGCACCAGGGGCGGAGAUGGCUCCCGACGCAAGAUCAGACAAGUCCACGCCAUGCCAAUACUCAGCAGAACACUAUAAUAUAGUGUAACAGGGGUCAACAUCCCACAGCUGGUUGGACUGGAGGAUGAUACUGUGCUGGUGGAAACAACACCUGACUCUGUACCACAGAUCAAGCAGUACCAGCACUUCAGCUUCGGUGCUCUGGAGCCUGGUGUUGUUGUCGCCAUGGACUGUUCGGACUCAGUGGGAACCAGGUUUCAGCUGCUGCGAAACGCUGACAUCCUUCCUCCCAUAGAUGGUCUGCCUAUACAAUCACCACCUGGACUUUACACAGACAAACGUAUCUUUUUGACAAGAUCAGGAAGUUUUAAGACGAAGAGGCUAUGGACGUCACAUGCCCUGCGCCAAAGUCAAGGGCAGGACAGAAACAGGCUCUACGAAUGUAGAUUCCCUUGUUCAUGCGUGGUUCGGAUGGACCAGUCAUCAGCACUAUCUGCAGUUCCUCUAUUCAAAUGACUCUCUCCUAACACACACGCCAUACGUUGCUGCUUCAAAAACAAAAAGAUAUCCUGCUGCUCAGCCACUUUACCCCUGAUUGUAUGCAUAUAACUACCUUGUCUAUCACUGAUAUUGAUAUUGUUCUUGUACAUACUGCGUAUUAUUUUAUUUAUAUUGAUGCCAUUUCUGAUAUUGCUACUAUACAAUUAACCAUUUGGCUGUACCGUUUACACCUUCUGUAGAGACCAAUCCACUUAGCAAGACUUAGCAGAAUAUUGAUAUAUAAAAUGAAUUUUGAUAUGUGUGGUCGUAACAUGAUUUUGUGACAUACCACAACAAUAUCAUGUGACCAUAUCAAGAGUCCACCACAUACAUAUAUGGCGCAUAAAUCUGUUUACGUACUGUUUAUGUACUGUAUGUACCUAUGCACCUCACUCAGGUUUCAACUCAGGUUGCAUGGCCUUAACUUAUGUAUGGAAUACUAUGUGAUAAGUGUGUGUGUAACAGUAUAUAAAAUAUGCUAAUGUACUGUUGUGAAGGCAUUUGGGCAGUGGUGUAAUGUACUUCAGUAAAAUACUACUUUUGUAUUUGGGGGUAUCUGUACAUUACUUUACUAUCUAUAUUUUUGGCAACUUUUACUUUACCUUCACCACAUUCCGGAAAAAAAAUGUACUUCUUACCCCAAACAUUUUCCCUGGCACCCAAAGUACUUCACACACUUAUCAAAAGAACAUCCCUGGUCAUCCCUUCUGCCUCACUAAACACAAAUGCUUUUUUGAAGUUAUGUCUGAGUGUUGGAGUGUGCACCUGCCUAUCCGUCAAUAAAAAAUAAAAACAAUUAGGCCAUCUGGUUUAAUAUAAGG
ensembl:lncRNA